rnacentral:tRNA from 1 species
CUUUAGCGCAGUAAGCAGAGCAUCAGUCUUGUAAGCUGAAGGUCCUGAGUUUGAUCCUCAAAAG